rnacentral:rRNA from 1 species
AUACGGAAGGUCCGGGCGUUAUCCGGAUUUAUUGGAUUUAAAGGGAGCGCAGGCGGAGAUGCAAGCGUGACGUCAAAUUUCGGGGCUCAACCCCGUCUCGCGUCGCGAACUGCGUCCCUUGGUUGCGGGAAGGGGAGGCGGAACUCGUGGUGUAGCGGUGAAAUGCAUAGAUAUCACGAAGAACACCGAUUGCGUAGGCAGCUGACCAGACCGCAAAGGACGCUCAUGCACGAAAGUGCGGGGAUCGAACAGGAUUAGAUGCCCUGGUAGUCCGCACAGUAAACGAUGAAUACUUGUUUUCGGCGAUAUAAUGUCGGAGGCAAAGCGAAAGCGAUGAGUAUUCCACCGGGGGAGUACGCCGGCAACGGUGAAACUCAGAGGAAUUGACGGGG